UACGUAGGUGACGAGCGUUGUCCGGAUUUACUGGGCGUAAAGAGCGCGCAGGCGGUCGUUCAAGUCGAGUGUGAAAGCCCCCGGCUCAACUGGGGAGGGUCACUCGAUACUGAUCGACUCGAAGGCAGGAGAGGGAAGUGGAAUUCCCGGUGUAGUGGUGAAAUGCGUAGAUAUCGGGAGGAACACCAGUGGCGAAGGCGGCGAUCUGGGAAGAUAUUGACGCUGAGGUGCGAAAGCGCGGGGAGCAAACAGG
rnacentral:rRNA from 1 species